GUUAAAUUUAUUUUGAUCACAGGCCAAAUGCAUUUUUCUCUAGUUUUUAAUAUCCUGCUUGAGGGCAGCUAAUACUGGUGUCAGUGGAGGCCUGGCUCACACAGAGAAAGCAGUUUACUCACAACGCCCCUGGGUUCAGAUGCAGGCCUGUGGGACAGUGGUAGGCUGCCACCACCUCUCUCCCACGGCCCUUGGAGAAUGUGUGUGUCCAUCCUGUGGGUGAGGGUUAUUACACUGUGUAACCACUCUUCAAAGGUGCCGAUGAAAGUCAGAGACCCAGGACCUGGACCUUUCUCUACAAUUGUUACAAAACCUCAGAAGUGCCCUUUAACACUGCACAGCACUAACUUGUAAGAGCAGAGGUCUAGAGCCAUCCACAGACCUACAGCAGGAAGCACCUGAGAGGCACAGUAGUGUUAAUAUUGAGCUUGGUCUGAAUAUACCUCAAACGGUGGGCACUUGUGCAGCAACUGCCCAGUCCUCCUGCCCAGCUAACUGUACCUUGCCUUGGACGUGGAUCUUCUAGGACGUGCAAGGUUUUUAAUCUUCCCAUAAAGGAACAAACUCUGGAGCCAUACAGACAGGUCCAUUCUUAACUCAUAAACUAUCCUUUAUGUAUAGUAAAAUCAUCCUGGGAAAUUAAGUCACCAAGGAUACUCACUUUCUUCUCUUUUGAGCUCUGGUUUUAUAUGUGCCCUGAAAUUUACAAGGUGAAAUGCUUACACGUCCCAGUCCUAAUUAGGCCAGGUUUUCUAGAUUUAACCCUAAAAGAUAAAUACAGAGCAUCUACGCUGAAGAGCAGAAUUGCAUUCGUGUAUUUAAAACUGUUGUAUGCUUACUAAGUUUAUUUGUAAGCAUAUAUCGUAUAAUGUAUUUCCUGGUGUUUUGAGGUGGGCUCUCAUGUAGCCCAGGCUGACCUCGAACUCAGACUAGUCAAAGAAGACCUUCAAUUCCCGACGCUGCUGCCUCAGCCUUCCAAGUGCUGGGAUUAUAGGAAUAUGCUACUUCCAUACUCAAGGUGGUAGAAUGCUGGGGUUGUUUAAGUUCCGUCUCUAUCUUCUCCAUCUACACUGGGUCCUGCUAGGGGGCCCCAAAUUCAAGUUAGAUUUCCCUAUGGCCAUCUGAAAGAUAAUUAUGCAUUUAAUGUAUUUCUCUUUUUUAAAUUAAUUUAUUUUAUGUGAGUACACUGUUCCUCUCUUCACAUACACCAAUAGAGGGCAUCAGGUUCCAUUACAGAUGAUUGUGAGGCACCAUGUGGUUACUGGGAAUUGAACUCAGGACUUCUGGAAGAGCUCUUAACUGCUGAGUCAUCUCUCCAGCCCCCAAACUUUAUGUAUUUCUAGUAAGUAAUCUGCUCAGCAUUGAGUGUGGGAUUAACUGUUUGGGAUUUUAAAGUCUUAUUCAAGACUAAGAAGACUGCUGAUGUCCAUCUUAGAGGCCAGCGAAGAAAAGAACCAGAACUAGACCAGGUACAGGCUUCCGUCUGCCAGCCCCAGCCCAGCUGGUUUGUUGUAUACUUACAACAGCUGACCUCACUUAGUGCAAAGAUCUUUUAGGGAAUGCCACAAACCCAUGGGAGAAAAGCCUAAAUAACUAGGAGCGGGACCACACAGGUUUUAAAGUGGUGCUACAGAAGGGAAAAGGCACAAAUCUAUUUCCUGACUUUAAAAUAAAGUGUGUAUUGUUUAGUUCAGUAAUUCAAAAGGACACACAAUAGCUGGGCAGUGGUGGGGCACACCUUUAAUCCCAGCACUUGGGAAGCAGAGACCCUUUCAUUGCAAAUUACUGCUUGAUACAUGAUAUAACCGUUAAAUCUCUUACAUAUGAAAGAUUGCGAACUCACGUUCGCUAAGAUUGGCCAGAGUGUUCUGGGACAUCACUUGUCCCAUCAGUUUCUACCUUGUUAAGCACUAACAAUUGGAUAAGCUCCAGCCCUGGUAUCUCCUACAGUCAGAGCAGCUCAUCCCUGAGCUGCUUAUGCAACAGUGUAGUGACCAGCAGCUGAGUGUGUUGACUUCAGCCAGAGCCUUCGCAAUCACCUUGAGGAAGCCAGGCUGGAGGCUGGCACAUGCUCAUGCCUAUAAUCCCAACACUAGGAAUGCUGAGGCAGGUGGACUGCUGCGAGUUAAAACCAGGAUAUAGAGUGAGACCCUGCCUCCUACAACCAAAAAUAUGGAAUAAAGAAUAAAUCUGGAGGGAUACUUUGCUGAACUUAGUGCUUUAAAAUGGGAAAGAGUUGGGAUGCUGAUUUUUAUAAAAUCUAAAAUAAUGCAUUUGUGAAUAUUCACUGUUGCAACUAUCUGUCCCCUCAUUUCUCUCCAUUUACUACAAAAGCUGUAGAACUCGGACAAACAGGGAUUAGCCAGGUGAUCAGCUCAAUGACAAGCCUUCUCAAAAGAAGAAUGCACAGGUGCAGUGGAUUUACGGUAUUACUGCUUCUGCUUUUAAAGUGACAGGAAAGCUGGGUGUGGUUGCACACGCCUUUAAUCCCAGCACUCAGAAAACAGAGAUAGGUGGAUCUCUUAAUUUGAAGCCAGCCUGGUCUACAAAGAGUUUCAGGACUGCCAGGGCUGUUACAGAGAGAGACCCUGUCUAUAAAUAAAUAAAUAAAUAAAUAAAUAAAGUGACAGAGCAGGGCAUUUGAAGACUUUGAUAAUUAACACUGUUCAGAGUAUAAAGUCCCUACAGUGAAUUAGAUCUAGUUUUAAAAUAAAAAUGGCUACAUAAAACUGAUAGUUUUUCUUUUUCCCCUUCUUUUUUUCUCCCCAAUUAACAGUCUUUUACCUUAGGUACAUGGACCAAACCAAAGAGAACCUUCCCUUACUUCCCACCAAUAGUACCCAAGGAACUUCCCUGUUCCUGAGUCCUCUGGGAGGCAGAAAGGCUAGUGCAGCAGCCGUCAGCAACAAAGGCACAGGCAGAGGGGAAAACAGCUGAGCGGGACAGUCUACCGCUGGCCAGCUGGAGUCACGGAAUCCUGUCCCUCCCCUACACAGGGGAGGUUCCGAUCACC
ensembl:lincRNA